rnacentral:rRNA from 1 species
UACGUAGGGGGCGAGCGUUGUCCGGAAUUAUUGGGCGUAAAGAGCUCGUAGGCGGCUUGGCAAGUCGGAUGUGAAAACUCCAGGCUCAACCUGGAGCUGUCAUUCGAUACUGCCAUGGCUAGAGUUCGGUAGGGGACCACGGAAUUCCUGGUGUAGCGGUGAAAUGCGCAGAUAUCAGGAGGAACACCAGCGGCGAAGGCGGUGGUCUGGGCCGACACUGACGCUGAGGAGCGAAAGCGUGGGGAGCGAACAGG